CAAGGGGGAAAGGAGUCUGAUGCAGUGAGACUGGUGAUUAAAAAACAAAGCCAAAGUUUCCUGGCUAUAGGAAUCACGGUAAAGUGUCUGGCUGCAUUUAUCAUAACCAUCUUGGUCAUUGAUGUUGUGAGGUGGCAAAAAUCCCAUCAGAAGAUAAAACCGGGUGGGCAUCGCCAGUUUUUUCUUCAAACAGACCACUGACCCAGAUGAUCAAGGUCGCUCCAUUCAUGUCCGAGUUCCUCAACCUCCAGCUGAUCCUGAUGAGGUCGACUAUGAGGAUCCAGACGGGCCCUCUGGUGUCAGACUGGGUUUGACAUCUCUACUGCUUUUAAAGUGCUCUAAUAUGCCUGGCUGUUGAUUAAUGAUGAAGCAUUCAAUUAUCAUAAAAUGUAACAACAAUCAUCCACUGAUCACCAGCAUCUCAACAUAAUGUCAUGUCAUCACUUACAGGUAUAUCUAGAUUUUAUUAGACCAUUCGAGUGUAGCAGCUACUGUCAUACCUGAAAAAAGUGUAGCCUAUGCAUCAGUGCCACUUAUCUUUAAUGCUUUAGAGCAAUGGUAGGUAGUGUAGGCCUAGUUGCUAAGGACCUGGGAAAGCAGUAGGCAGGAAAAUGUGUGGGUUCGAUUUCCGGCUACCAUGUUGUACCCUUGAGCAAGGCACUUAACACUGAGUUCCAGGGUGACUCGUAACUCAUUUAUAUUUGUAAGUUGCUUUGGAUAAAUGUGUAAGUGCAAAUGAUGUAGUGGCUACAUUUGCCCGUAAUGAUUCUUUUGACUUUCUGCAGACUGCACUAAUGCUAAAUGUAAGGUUAUUCAUUUCAUUUAAUUUCAUUGGCUUCUAUUGCAA